ACCUGCUGUAAUUCAAACAUCCUAAGGGCACCAGAUCCUGUCUGAUCUUCAAGCUAAGCAGGAUUAUCCCUGGUUACUAUUUAGAUGGGAAACCACCAAUGAAUGGCAUGCAUUGAAGGUC
rnacentral:rRNA from 11 species